rnacentral:RNase_P_RNA from 1 species
CGAGAAAAUCGGCUUGUUGAUUCUUGCUUAGGUAAGGGUAGGAAAGUCCGGACACCAUAGAGCAUCAAAGCGGAUAACAUCCGUCACCCGCGAGGGUAGGACAAGUGCAACAGAAAGUAUGUACAGUUCGGCUGUAGUGAAACCAGGUAAACUCUUUGUGGUGCAAUGAUAAGUAUAUCGGUUCUUUUCAGUAAUGAAAAUAGGGGUUGCUCGCUCUGAAAGCCGAGGGGUAAUCAGCUCAAGUUUUGCAGUAAUGCACGACGUAGAUAAAUAACAGGCGCUUCUUUUUGAAGAACAAAAUCCGGCUUAUAGAUUUUCUCGUGAU